rnacentral:lncRNA from 1 species
GUUCUUACGUGGUGCUCGUGUGUAGCAGAACAAACACUGAAUUAAUGAUGAUGGAUGAAUAAGCAAAUUAACUGAUUGCAAUCUACAUUUUACAGACAAGGACUGGAGGCGUAGAGUUGUUGAAUAAAUUGCCCUCAGUUACACAGCUAAGAAGGUGAAAAUGCUGGAAUUCAGAUAAAAAUUGGUCAGACUCUAAAUCCAGGAUCUGUGCCUAGCUGUCUGUGAUCCCUUGCUCAAACCCUUCCCAGGACAUCAUAAUUAGAAAGUGCUUUCUUCUUCUGAGCCGAAAUCUGUCUCCCCGGAGGUUCCAUUAAUAGGUUCAAGGUUCUUUCCCUUGGUGUCCGAGCAAAAGGAAGCAGCCCAAUGCUUUUCCGUAUUAGCUUCUUACUUAUGUGAAGGAAGUGCCAACCUCUGGGACUUUGAUUUUCUACAUACAGAAUCUGAGGCUCAGAGAGGGGCAGCGAUCUUAUGAAUCACCUGCAAGUUCUGGACCUGCGUUUAGAGUGUUGAGUGCUCAUUCAUGCAGUUCCCUGGGUUCCCACAGAAGAGAGAAGGUGGAUUUUUGAAAAGUGGGAUUCAGUGAACAGCAUUGCUGCAAAAUCACCUAAAUCGCCUUCCUGAGACUCUGUGUGGUGGGCAUGUCCUUAAUCUUUGGAAGCAGAGUGAGCUCCCUUCUACCCCUGCCUUGCCCAGGGAGCCUGAGGUCUGGGAUCAUUCAGGGAUUGCAACCUCCCACCUGAGUUUACUUUCACUCUGCAAAUAUUUGUCGGGAGGCUUUCCCACCCCUCAGCGAAAGCUCUGGCUCUACAGGUGUCCAUCAUAGGAUGCAAUCCUCCAAGCCCGUCCUCACUGGCCUCCUGGCCCCCGUCUCGUCACCCUCCAAGUUGCUGCUAUGGACACAGAUCAACCUCUGGGUGCAGCGCACCUGGCAGUGAGGUGUCAAGCGAGCCUUCAACCUCUCCCCACAUCAAUUUUCUCACCUUGACAUUGGGGAUCAGAGUGCCUAUUGUGUAUCCACUCAUCCAUUCAUUUCAAGCAUGUUCAUGGAGCACCCAUCACAUGUCUUCCAAGCAACGACAGAGGAGAUGUGAGGACCGACUGUAACAACCUAAGAAAGCACUGAGCAAAUGAGAGAUGCUCCACAUAUGUGGCUCUUUCACUUUCUCUUCUUUCCCAAAACACCAGUUUAUAAAUCAGCAUCACAGCUCCAAAGCCUCUGUGUGUCUUUUCCCCUGCCAAGGAUAAAGUCCAUAUUUCUUUGUUGACCUUUAACAUUUAAGAUAUCUAAGACAAAUCUAUCUAUCUAUUUAUUUAUGAAAAUUUAAGCUGUACACACCCUUUGACCACCUGGGGCCACUUCUUGGAAGUCCCCUACUUCCCAUUCCACCCCAGUAUAC